rnacentral:rRNA from 1 species
CCGCCCGUCACAUCACGAAAAGUGGAUUGUACUAGAAGUCUGCGCGCCAACCCGCAAGGGGGCAGCGGCCCAAGGUAUGAUUCAUGAUUGGGGUGAAGUCGUAAACAAGGUACC